GAACCAAAGUGCUGAAUUGCUGAAGUCCCAAAUUUCGGAAGUGCCGAACUAAACCAAAGUACCGAAGUACCGAAUUGAAGAAGUCCCGAAGUGACGAAUUUCAGGAUGCCGAACCAAAUCAAAUUUUUUGCCCAUGCACAUCCCUAAACAGUAUAGUAUAGAAGUUAUAGCCUUUUCCGCCCUUACAUUAGUCGAGGCAUAAUGCUGGAAGAAGAAC